rnacentral:rRNA from 1 species
UACGUAGGGGGCUAGCGUUGUCCGGAAUCAUUGGGCGUAAAGCGCGUGUAGGCGGUCCGGUAAGUCCGCUGUGAAAGUCGGGGGCUCAACCCUCGAAUGCCGGUGGAUACUGUCGGGCUAGAGUGCGGAAGAGGCGAGUGGAAUUCCUGGUGUAGCGGUGAAAUGCGCAGACUAUCAGGAGGAACACCAAUUGCGAAGGCAGCUCGCUGGGACGUGACUGACGCUGAGACGCGAAAGCGUGGGGAGCAAACAGG